AUGUCUAACGAAAUCAAAAUGAAUAAGCGUGUCGCACGCUGGAUAUCACGAGCAAGUCUGGGGAAAGACGCGCAUCUCGUGCUGUCAAGCUCAUCGGGUUACAUUACCAAUGGUGUUGGGUUCGAGGGCUCCCAAAUUUGGAAGAGGGAGCGUGGAGUAGGACCUGCAUCAUCACAAGAGAGCAAUGCCAGACUUUCUAUGGUCAAUCAUCUUCAAGUUUCUUCAUUAUGUCACACUGCAUUCUCUUAAACCAAUAUGUUGUAAUUUUGACUACAGGCAAGUGAAGUGACAUACUCGUGGUCAAGCAUUGUCAUUUGCAGGAUUUGGACCCUACAACCUCAGGAUUUGAAGUCUGAGAUCCAACAUCUUAACCACUACACCACUUUGCAUGUCAAUAUUAGCACUUCAUAAAAAUGUUAAUAUUGUAUAUAGAAAAGUACUUAGUUAAUGUAUUUCUUCUGAUAUGUUAAAUUAACCUUUCUCUCACGAAAUUUCCCAGAAGAUGGUUAUUACAGCUAGUAUUUGGUAUAAAGCAAAUCUGAUGAGUCAUGGUGUCAAAGUAAUAGCAACAGUAUAUUUUAAGAAAUAUGAAAACAAUUUAAAAAGUAAUGUUUUCCUUUUGAACUUUCUAAGUAGACCAACUGAAAACUAUUCACUGUUCAGAGCCUGCUUCAGUACUUCAGGAAAAAAUUAAUACACAGUUAUGUGAUGGCAUUCAGCAAAUUAUUGCUCUUAAUUAAACUGUGCCAUUUUAGUAAUUUGCAUUUAAAUUAUAAUUGCAGAAUGCAAAUCAGCUAGAACUCUUUUUUAGUUCAUUUCAGGCAAGUAUUAAAGUUUGCAAAGUCAGUCUGCCACUCUUUACCAUAAACACAGAAGGCUUUUAUUCUUUAUCCAAUUCAUUCUUUCAUGCUGAAUCAUUACUAAUAAAUCAGAGGUAUUCCCCAACAUGCACAGCAUGCAGGAUAGGCCUACAUUUUAAAGAAGAUACCUUCAAAUUUCAGACAAGAAAGAUACCAAUCACAACUGAAAAUAAUAAAUCAAUUUUUGUGUUGAUCCUUUGUCAAAAGCAUCUCUUGCAACAUAAAAGUAGCAUUAAAUGAAACAAGUAUUUAGUUGCUGAGUGACAUAUUGAAUAAUGGUAACUUCAGCAUUUGUUAUUAGUUCUCUACUGGGUGAAGAAAUAUAAAAAGAACAUUAGCACCUCAAUUAAGAUACUGGCAAAUGUUUGAAUUAUUACAAUGACAAGGGUUAGGGUAAAGAAAGCACAACUAAUUUUUAUGAUUUCUCUGUUAUGAGGAAUGCAAUACCUAAAAUGGGCCUGUCAGCAUCAGGCAGUUUCAAAAAUGGGUGACUCUAGUACAGAGCUUUAAAAAUUUUAAAAACAGAAUUCAAAGGAAAGUGUCAAUUUUAGUUACAAACUAUGACGCACUCUUAAUAG